AUCUAAGUACCCCGAGGAAAAGAAAUCAACCGAGAUUCCCCCAGUAGCGGCGAGCGAACGGGGAGGAGCCCAGAGCCUGAAUCAGCAUGUGUGUUAGUGGAAGCGUCUGGAAAGGCGCGCGAUACAGGGUGACAGCCCCGUACACAAAAGCGCAUGUGCUGUGAGCUCGAUGAGUAGGGCGGGACACGUGGUAUCCUGUCUGAAUAUGGGGGGACCAUCCUCCAAGGCUAAAUACUCCUGACUGACCGAUAGUGAACCAGUACCGUGAGGGAAAGGCGAAAAGAACCCCGGCGAGGGGAGUGAAAAAGAACCUGAAACCGUGUACGUACAAGCAGUGGGAGCACCCUUCGGGGUGUGACUGCGUACCUUUUGUAUAAUGGGUCAGCGACUUAUAUUCUGUAGCAAGGUUAACCGUAUAGGGGAGCCGGAGGGAAACC
rnacentral:rRNA from 1 species